AGAGUUUGAUCAUGGCUCAGAGCGAACGCUGGCGGCAGGCCUAAAACAUGCAAGUCGAACGGAUCCUUCGGGAUUAGUGGCGGACGGGUGAGUAACACGUGGGAACGUGCCUUUUGGUUCGGAACAACUCAGGGAAACUUGAGCUAAUACCGAAUGUGCCCUUCGGGGGAAAGAUUUAUCGCCAUUAGAGCGGCCCGCGUCUGAUUAGCUAGUUGGUAGGGUAAAGGCCUACCAAGGCUACGAUCAGUAGCUGGUCUGAGAGGAUGAUCAGCCACACUGGGACUGAGACACGGCCCAGACUCCUACGGGAGGCAGCAGUUAGGAAUCUUGCGCAAUGGGCGAAAGCCUGACGCAGCCAUGCCGCGUGAAUGAUGAAGGUCUUAGGAUUGUAAAAUUCUUUCAGCGGGGACGAUAAUGACGGUACCCGCAGAAGAAGCUCCGGCUAACUUCGUGCCAGCAGCCGCGGUAAUACGAAGGGGGCUAGCGUUGCUCGGAAUUACUGGGCGUAAAGGGCGCGUAGGCGGACAGUUAAGUCAGAGGUGAAAGCCCAGGGCUCAACCUUGGAACUGCCUUUGAUACUGGCUGUCUAGAGUGCGGGAGAGGUGUGUGGAACUCCGAGUGUAGAGGUGAAAUUCGUAGAUAUUCGGAAGAACACCAGUGGCGAAGGCGACACACUGGCCCGUAACUGACGCUGAGGCGCGAAAGCGUGGGGAGCAAAAGGAUUAGAUACCCUAGUAGUCC
rnacentral:rRNA from 1 species